GCCCAGGAGAGGCAAAGCACCUUCGUCCACAGUGAAGCGAGUCUUAGUGAUGGUCCAGUUGGAGUACCGAUUGCUGUCCACUGCCCGGACUCUGGCCCUGUAGCCAUAGCUAUGGUCGAGGUUCCGUACCUGAGGAGAUACCAGAACAGGCACUGGGGAAUCAGCUUGUGCUCAAAUCUUUCUCCUUUUAAGAGGGAAGGAAAAGGCCAGUUAUGUUUAUGAAUACUUUUCCAGAAUACCAGGAAGCCCUCUGAGCCAAUAGCUGCUCACCUUAGGGAUCCCAGCACACUGCUCAAUUCAUAUGACACUCAAUUCUAAAGGGCAGACUGAAGGAACCUGGAACUAGCAGCUUGCCGGUAUGACCUCUAGCAGAGGAGUGACCCCCUUGAGAUCCUCUGUCCUCUUUUGUAACAAUACAAUAAACAUUUCUAUUUGAAUUCUG